rnacentral:tRNA from 1 species
GCCUGAUAAGCGUGAGGUCGAUGGUUCGAGUCCAUUUAGGCCCA